AUUGAACGCUGGCGGCAGGCCUAACACAUGCAAGUCGAGCGGAUGAAGGGAGCUUGCUCCUGGAUUCAGCGGCGGACGGGUGAGUAAUGCCUAGGAAUCUGCCUGGUAGUGGGGGAUAACGUCCGGAAACGGGCGCUAAUACCGCAUACGUCCUGAGGGAGAAAGUGGGGGAUCUUCGGACCUCACGCUAUCAGAUGAGCCUAGGUCGGAUUAGCUAGUUGGUGGGGUAAAGGCCUACCAAGGCGACGAUCCGUAACUGGUCUGAGAGGAUGAUCAGUCACACUGGAACUGAGAAACGGUCCAGACUCCUACGGGAGGCAGCAGGGGGGAAUAUUGGACAAUGGGCGAAAGCCUGAUCCAGCAAUGCCGCGUGUGUGAAGAAGGUCUUCGGAUUGUAAAGCACUUUAAGUUGGGAGGAAGGGCAGUAAGUUAAUACCUUGCUGUUUUGACGUUACCAACAGAAUAAGCACCGGCUAACUUCGUG
rnacentral:rRNA from 1 species